rnacentral:tRNA from 1 species
GAGGGUGUAGCUCAGUGGUAGAGUGCAUGCUUAGCAUGCAUGAGGGCCUGGGUUCAAUUCCCAAUAACUCCA